rnacentral:rRNA from 1 species
UCGCUAGUAAUCGCGGAUCAGAAUGCCGCGGUGAAUACGUUCCCGGGUCUUGUACACACCGCCCGUCACACCAUGGGAGUCGGAAAUGCCCGAAGUCUGUGACCCAACCAUUAAGGAGGGAGCAGCCGAAGGCAGGUCGGAUGACUGGGGUGAAGUCGUAACAAGGUAGC